GCCUGGGUGGCUCAGUCGGUUAAGCAUCCGACUUUGGCUCAGGUCAUGAUCUCGCGGUCCGUGGGUUCGAGCCCCGCGCCGGGCU
rnacentral:tRNA from 1 species